ACGCUCGACACCUACGGAGGCAGCAGUGGGGAAUAUUGCACAAUGGGGGAAACCCUGAUGCAGCAACGCCGCGUGAAGGAAGAAGGUUUUCGGAUCGUAAACUUCUAUCAAUAGGGAAGAAAGAAAUGACGGUACCUAAAUAAGAAGCCCCGGCUAACUACGUACCAGCAGCCGCGGUAAUCUGAGCGGGCUGGCAAGGC
rnacentral:rRNA from 1 species